GUGUGACCGUAGACUUGUGACGACGUCUCUCUGAUUUUCUUCACAGGACCAGAGGCGGGGAUCUGUUGAUGCUCUUCCUGAGAAAAGAUGGUUGCCAGCUGGACUACAGUCUGAGAAAGAGUCUUGUCUGCCCCAACUCAUUGGGGGGAAAAAAUGGAUUUAAAAAAUCAGCUUUAUUGAGCACUAAUUUUUAACUGGCUGCAGCACCAUAGCUGGAAAACACCACCCUUGGAAAGUCCUGCUUACUCAGCUGAAAGCUGCAGCUGUUCCCAUAAGCAAUUUGACGUUUAACACCUGAGAUUGGCUCCCUCCUUCCAGCAAGACUGCAAGC
rnacentral:lncRNA from 1 species